rnacentral:lncRNA from 1 species
AUGAUUAGCAUUAGCCCGAAAUGGCCUUACAGUAUGACCGCCACAAAAUCUGCCAUUUAAUUAUCAUCAGAAUCAAAGAAAUCUAUGCCUUUUACUUUAGUUUUGGAGAGAAAUAAGAAAUAUGUUUGGCAACUGCAUACCCUAGCUCUCAUUGACUGAUCCAACAAAAUAUUGGAUGAUUUAAUAUCCCGGUGUACAACUGGAGGAACUGCCUGAAAAAGGAAAUAACAAAGAUUAAAGAGGUCAGUGAAUGAGGCAAUAUACGGUAGCAGGAGAGUUGCCACUGCGCAUGAUUCGGAAAUUGAGAUGAGGUCAGUGAAUAAGCAAUAUACGGUAGCAGGAGAGUUGCCACUAGGACACGCAUGAUUCAGAAAUUGAGAUCCCCAAAAAUGUAUUUUGUAUAUGAAUGGUAAUUUGUGCUUAUUUCAAGCAUCCCUGGUACAGAAGAGAGAUUGGUUGUUCAUCAUGUUUCAGUCUUUCAGAAGCAUUAAAUGCAAAUUAUGGGAGAAGGUUAC